rnacentral:rRNA from 1 species
GUGCCAGCAGCCGCGGUAAUUCCAGCUCCAAUAGCGUAUAUUAAAGUUGUUGUGGUUAAAAAGCUCGUAGUUGAACCUUGGGCCUGGCUGGCCGGUCCGCCUCACCGCGUGCACUGGUCCGGCCGGGCCUUUCCCUCUGUGGAACCCCAUACCCUUCACUGGGCGUGGCGGGGAAACAGGACAUUUACUUUGAAAAAAUUAGAGUGCUCCAGGCAGGCCUAUGCUCGAAUACAUUAGCAUGGAAUAAUAAAAUAGGACGCGCGGUUCUAUUUUGUUGGUUUAUAGGACCGCCGUAAUGAUUAAUAGGGACAGUCGGGGGCAUCAGUAUUCAACUGUCAGAGGUGAAAUUCUUGGAUCAGUUGAAGACUAACUACUGCGAAAGCAUUUGCCAAGGAUGUUUUCAUUAAUCAGGAACGAAAGUUAGGGGAUCGAAGACGAUCAGAUACCGUCGUAGUCUUAACCAUAAACUAUGCCGACUAGGGAUCGGACGGUGUUAUUCAUGACCCGUUCGGCACCUUACGAGAAAUCAAAGUGCUUGGGCUCCAGGGGGAGUAUGGUCGCAAGGCUGAAACUUAAAGAAAUUGACGGAAGGGCACCACCAGGGGUGCAGCCUGCGGCUUAAUUUGACUCAACACGGGGAAACUCACCAGGUCCAGACACAAUAAGGAUUGACAGAUUGAGAGCUCUUUUCUUGAUUUUGUGGGUGGUGGUGCAUGGUCGUUCUUAGUUGGUGGGGUGACUUGUCUGCUUAAUUGCGAUAACGAACGAGACCUAACCUGCUAAAUAGCCCGCAUUGCUCUGGCAGUGCGCUGGCUUCUUAGAGGGACUUUCGGCUCAAGCCGAAGGAAGGUUUGA